CCUUGAUGGAGAGUUUGAUCCUGGCUCAGGACGAACGCUGGCGGCGUGCUUAACACAUGCAAGUCGAGCGGAAAGGCCCCUUCGGGGGUACUCGAGCGGCGAACGGGUGAGUAACACGUGAGCAACCUGCCCCUGACUUCGGGAUAAGCCUGGGAAACCGGGUCUAAUACCGGAUAUGACCUCUUACCGCAUGGUGGGGGGUGGAAAGUUUUUUCGGUUGGGGAUGGGCUCGCGGCCUAUCAGCUUGUUGGUGGGGUGAUGGCCUACCAAGGCGACGACGGGUAGCCGGCCUGAGAGGGCGACCGGCCACACUGGGACUGAG
rnacentral:rRNA from 2 species